CCCUUUAGGUUCAAGAAAGACACAAAUUUCUGAGUUCUACCAUGACAGCACUCAUGUGUUGAAGACUACCAUGUCAAAAAAGAUGUGAAGAGAAUUUGGGAGGCUGAAGCAGUAGUGUCCCUUGGAUCUCCAUGAAGGGUAGCCCCAGCUACUCUGAGAUGAAGAGCAGAUGCCAGUACCUCCACAAAAAGGUGUCACACAUUCAGCAAUGAGUAUCUGAAUUUGGCAAGCAGCAAGUGGAGUCCUGGCACCAGUCGUCUGCUUCAGCAAGGAAACAUCUAUGAACUCGGGCUGUUUUAUUUUAAAAGAAGAUUAAGCUUUUAGGAUUCUUCAAGUUAGGAUUGAGUAGAUGAUUAUUUGUUAAAAACAUAGGAUUAGUUAGUCUAAGAUUACAGAAUUUAGUAUUGAACUUCAGCAAUAAAGAAGUUGCAUUCUUGUUAA